GUAGUCUCGCACAGAUGCAUAUCAAUAAGCGGAGGAAAAGAAACUAACAAGGAUUCCCUCAGUAACGGCGAGUGAAGCGGGAAGAGCUCAAAUUUGAAAUCUUGAAAGGUCACCUUUCACGAAUUGUAGUUUAAAGAAGUGUUUUCUGUUACGAUCGUAAUAUAAGUUCUUUGGAAUAGGACAUCACAGAGGGUGAGAAUCCCGUCUAUGAUUGCGAUUUGUAGCUUUGUGAUACACUUUCAAAGAGUCGGGUUGUUUGGGAAUGCAGCCCAAAACGGGAGGUAAAUUUCUUCUAAGGCUAAAUAUUGGCGAGAGACCGAUAGCGAACAAGUACCGUGAGGGAAAGAUGAAAAGAACUUUGAAAAGAGAGUUAAAUAGUACGUGAAAUUGUCCAAAAGGGAAGCGUUUAACACCAGUGUUGUUUUCUGAAAAUCAACCUCUGUUAGCUUUAUGCAUGUUUGUUUAGACCUAAUCAGCUAUCUUGCAUGUUCUAUUGUUUGCAGUGGUGCACUUUUCAGUUUACAGGUCAACAUCAGUUUUUUUUACCGUAAAAAAGUUAAAGAAAGGUAGCUCAUGGCUCCGGUCGUGAGUGUUAUAGUCUUUUUCCUAUGCGGUAGGAGAGACUGAGGUCUGCAGUGUAGGCUAUUUGGCUAGAUACUCAGGUGCUAUGUGAUACCAUUUCAUAAACAACUUGUUGAUUAUGUUUUGUCUAUUGCAUACUCGCUUGUACUAUCAUACCUACGCUUAGGAUGUUGAGUCGUAGAGCACGCAG
rnacentral:rRNA from 1 species